rnacentral:rRNA from 1 species
UACGUAGGGAGCAAGCGUUGUCCGGAAUCAUUGGGCGUAAAGCGCGCGUAGGCGGCUUCCUAAGUUCUGUGUGAAAGGUUUCGGCUCAACCGGAACACGGCAUGGGAUACUGGGAGGCUUGAGGGCAGCAGAGGUCGGUGGAAUUCCCGGUGGAGUGGUGAAAUGCGUAGAGAUCGGGAGGAACACCAGAGGCGAAGGCGGCCGACUGGGCUGUACCUGACGCUGAGGCGCGAAAGCGUGGGGAGCGAACCGG